ACGCACCUUCGGGUGCUGAUCAGUGGCGAACGGGUGAGUAACACGUGGGCAACCUGCCCCUGACUCUGGGAUAACCCCUCGAAAGAGGAGCUAAUACCGGAUACCACCUCCCGCGGCAUCUCGGGAGGUCGAAAGUUUUUCGGUCAGGGAUGGGCCCGCGGCCUAUCAGCUAGUUGGUGGGGUGACGGCCCACCAAGGCGACGACGGGUAGCCGGCCUGAGAGGGCGACCGGCCACACUGGGACUGAGACACGGCCCAGACUCCUACGGGAGGCAGCAGUGGGGAAUAUUGCGCAAUGGGCGAAAGCCUGACGCAGCAACGCCGCGUGAGGGAUGACGGCCUUCGGG
rnacentral:rRNA from 1 species